rnacentral:rRNA from 1 species
GACGAACGCUGGCGGCGUGCUUAACACAUGCAAGUCGAACGGAAAGGCCCUGCUUUUGUGGGGUGCUCGAGUGGCGAACGGGUGAUUAACACGUGAGUAACCUGCCCUUGACUUUGGGAUAACUUCAGGAAACUGGGGCUAAUACCGGAUAGGAGCUCCUGCUGCAUGGUGGGGGUUGGAAAGUUUCGGCGGUUGGGGAUGGACUCGCGGCUUAUCAGCUUGUUGGUGGGGUAGUGGCUUACCAAGGCUUUGACGGGUAGCCGGCCUGAGAGGGUGACCGGCCACAUUGGGACUGAGAUACGGCCCAGACUCCUAUGGGAGGCAGCAGUGGGGAAUAUUGCACAAUGGGCGGAAGCCUGAUGCAGCAACGCCGUGUGCGGGAUGACGGCCUUCGGGUUGUAAACCGCUUUCGCCUGUGACGAAGCGUGAGUGACGGUAAUGGGUAAAGAAGCACCGGCUAACUACGUG